CAUGAUAAUUGAUUGAAAGAUGCAAGCGCAUCACUAGUAGAUGGACCUGCGUUGUAUUAGCUAGUUGGUAAGGUAAGAGCUUACCAAGGCGACGAUACAUAGCCGACCUGAGAGGGUGAUCGGCCACACUGGGACUGAGACACGGCCCAGACUCCUACGGGAGGCAGCAGUAGGGAAUCUUCGGCAAUGGACGAAAGUCUGACCGAGCAACGCCGCGUGAGUGAAGAAGGUUUUCGGAUCGUAAAGCUCUGUUGUAAGUCAAGAACGUGUGUGAGAGUGGAAAGUUCACACAGUGACGGUAGCUUACCAGAAAGGGACGGCUAACUAC
rnacentral:rRNA from 1 species